rnacentral:rRNA from 1 species
AUGAACGCUGGCGGCGUGCCUAAUACAUGCAAGUCGAGCGAACAGAUAAGGAGCUUGCUCCUUUGACGUUAGCGGCGGACGGGUGAGUUACACGUGGAUAACCUACCUAUAAGACUGGGAUAACUUCGGGAAACCGGAGCUAAUACCGGAUAACAUAUUGAACCGCAUGGUUCAAUAGUGAAAGGCGGCUUUGCUGUCACUUAUAGAUGGAUUCGCGCCGUAUUAGCUAGUUGGUAAGGUAACGGCUUACCAAGGCAACGAUACGUAGCCGACCUGAGAGGGUGAUCGGCCACACUGGAACUGAGACACGGUCCAGACUCCUACGGGAGGCAGCAGUAGGGAAUCUUCCGCAAUGGGCGAAAGCCUGACGGAGCAACGCCGCGUGAGUGAUGAAGGUCUUCGGAUCGUAAAACUCUGUUAUCAGGGAAGAACAAAUGUGUAAGUAACUGUGCACAUCUUGACGGUACCUGAUCAGAAAGCCACGGCUAACUACGUG